UUUUAUUAAAAGAAAAGGGGUGAAAAGAACAAAGUUUUGUCCAUCUUUGUUCAUCAUAGCUGAAAGUUAGAGAAGAGAAAGGAGAGGAGAAAGCUCUUGAGUAUUUGGUCAUUAGGAGGAGGAAAAUUGAAGGCGGUUCGUGUGUGGAUCUCAUCAGCAUAUCGUCGCAAACAGGAAAUCCCCAACCAUAGUGGGCUUGGAGCUGUGAGGGAAUUCGGAGUGGCCACCAGUUCUGAAAGUUUGAUUUUCUUCUGGUGAACUGGACAUCCUUUUAAUUACGUUUGAGGUUUUGGGCUUUUAAAUGUAAUAAGGUGGCUUAUUCAUUUUUGAUGGUUUUUAAUAUGUAUUACUAAGAUAUGUAACACCCCGAAUUUGGGCCUAGAAGUAUUGGGCCUUGAGUGGGGGUCCGUAAGGAGGUUGUAUAUAGGUAUUUAAUUGUGCAAUGAAAUGAAACAAUUAAAUGUUUGCUAUUAGUGGUUAA